CCUGGUGGCUUAGACGGUAAAGCAUCUGCCUGUAAUGCAGGAGACCUGCGUUCGAUUCCUGGGUCAGGA
rnacentral:tRNA from 1 species